GCUUCAAAACCGCUCCUCAGAAACCAACGGGUGACGUCACGGCUUCCUUCUGUUUGGAGCGAGAAACCAAGUGAUCAAUCUGAUUUUUAAACAAAGCCAGCCUGUUUGGACUGCACGGGAAGGCAUAAAGCCCUGAAGCACAUGCUGGCAGAGAUGCUGAGGGGACUGCUGCGCAUGGCCAAUGAAGAGAUGGUAAACAUGCACUGCACACUGGAGGAGACGCUUCAGGGACCGCUGCCAGCAUCUGGCACAGAGAACACCCUGGACUUUGCGGGAAUGCGGAUGCCUGCCUUCACAUCUAAGGGUCUGCACUGUUUGCCCCUAGACAUUCGCAGAUUACUACCAAAGACAGAUGAAGUUUGUGUACUUGCGAGUAAAGAUAAUGCCAGUAUAUUGUGCUUUACUGUAACCUGGCUAGACUUUUCCAUCAUUGAAAACUUUUCAAUCAUUUGUAAGGACAGAAACCUAUGAGGAAGAGGAGUAUGUAUAUAUGUGAGGUUGAACAUAGAAUUUAAGCUAAGAGCUGAUUUAAACAAUGGCAACCUUGAAGCAGUUUGGAUUGAUAUUUUACUUACUAAAAGUAUACCGAUACUGAUUGUUGCUUUAUACAGACCUCCUGACCAGAGAAACUCUGUUGAAACCCUGGAAAACGUGUUUGCUAUUUGCUAUGACUUUUUAAACUGUUAAGUAAUUUUACUUGGUGAUGUGAAUAUUGAUUUUUUUUGUUUAAUGAAAAUGGUCCACUUUAUAUAUGCGCUGUUAAACUUCCUGAAAACAUUUAGUCUCACACAAUUAAUAAAUGAGCCUUUUAGAAUUGGUGAACGCAGUCAAACUGCUAUUGAUCUUAUUAUGGUAUCAGAGAUAAUACUAUAAUAUGGUGUCAUUGUGUAUGGAAUCAGUGAUCAUUUUUUAACCUACUGUAUGAGUAAAGUUAGGAGGACCUCAAUUAACUGUCACAGUUCUAUUAAAAACUGAACCCUAAGAAGGUAUGAUAAAUUCAAGGAUAUGCUUAAGAACAUGGUGUAACAUUAUGGACAGUUGUGUUGUAGAUAUAGCAUGGAAUCACUUCCAGAGUCAUUUUCUUCAGGUUUUAGAUAAAAUUGCUCCAUUAAAAGAAGUAAGGAUUAA